CUUAACAAUAUUUUCGAAUAGCCACUGAAGAAACUGCUGUAUAACAAAAUAAAUGACAGAAAUCAUGUUGACUAUUCUUCUGAUCACGGCGAUGAUUGGCCAAGGUCAGUCAUGGGACAGCUAUGGAAAAAACUUCAUCACAGUAUUCCCAGAAAACAUAGCCUUCUACUACCCACGUACUCCAGUCAAUACUCUCAGUAUCACUGCUCUCUAUCCUGACACCAAAGUGGAAGUCUUCGUCUCAGAGGUAUCGACAUACUCGGACACACUGCCAGCAGGAAAGCCCGUAACUGUGACCCUGCCACUGGAUACUGAGGAAUACCGUCUCAGUUCUACUUCUCAGACUGUCAGAGUCAGCAGCACGGAGCUCAUCGUGGUGCAAUCAAUCAGCAAGAAAGGAGACAGUGUGCAAACUAAUGUUGUUCAGCCUUUGAAAAAUCACGGUACGUUGUAUACCAUCCCCUCACUGAAUUACAGCCUGAUGCUUAAUACUUUUGAUCAGUCAGCAAGAAACAUCAGCAAGAGAUACAGCUCUUUCAGGCUGGUUAUUAUCAAUGGAGAAACUUUGAUUCAAGAUGUCACAAUUGUAAAACUGGCUAGAAAUGAGACCUACACGCUCAAUCCCUACACCGCUCUCCAGCUCCAAACUGAUGGGACAGAAACCGCGGUUUAUUCUGAUGAUAGAGUGGCUGUGAUGCUGACCCAUCCUUGUGUAGUAACGGAAGAAUGCAGAUGCAACAUGGUGCUGAACCAACUUUAUCCCGACAGGCUGCAGGAUAGCAGAUUCAUCGUACCCUCAAUACUCAGCACCAGCAACUUUUGGCUACUUGUGACGUCCUCAGUGAAAACUGAAGUCAGUGGCGGGGAUCUAGAAUUGAGUACUGUGAAUGCCUAUUCCUCAAAACUCCUGGCCCUUCCAUCUCUGCAGUUUGAAUCCCAGUUGAUCGACACAUCUUCUCCUGCUUCCCUCAAGCUUGUUGGUCCAGGCAUCAUCGUUGAACCGAUCUCACAAUAUAUGUUCUCUGCGUGCUACCUAGCGCCUGUCAGCUCGACAGAUGCCAAGGCCUUAAUCAUAGCAGAGACAAACUACAGGGAUAGUGUGUAUAUGGAUGGUGAUUUGCUUUUAUCCACUACAUGGAGCACCAUCGCCAAUUCGGUGUACUCAUCGGUGUUAGUGCCUCUUGAUGACGCGCACAUCAUCUGGCAUCCAUCCACAAAGAUCGCCGUGUACGUGUUUGAGAAGAGCACACAUGUGUAUGGAGGCCCGGCUAUACCUUUAAGCGAAACGCCAGACCCUUUAGGCUGUGCAUUGGUUCCUUCUAAGUUUGACAUCAUCGUCACACCUCAAACCUGGCCUGAAUCCCAUCAGUACUGUAAGCUCAUAAGUGACGAGCUGUUCAGUCCCAGCAAUAAAGCGGCUCAUGCGGAGAUGGCCAGCAUCCUGAGGAAUGAGAGCACGAAUGAGAGGUUCUGGAUCGGCGUGCGUCGCAGUCUGCUGACGUUAGACUGGUACCGGCAGAAGGCUGACAUCUCACACAACUUGUCAUACACGCAGUGGGGAACCGGGGAGCCAGGUGUUGCUGCGAAUGGCAUGUGUGCUUCAGUAUUCCCAAACCCAAACAUGGAUUUCCAAUGGGAAACUACACACUGCUGUACUCUACUGAAGUCUAUCUGCUACACAAGGGCUCAGUACUUUUCUCUGUACUUUCCGAUCUCAGAUUAGGUCAAAUUAGACAGAUAGUAAUUCUAAUGUUCCAAAAAUAAUGUUUAAAAAUAAAAACUGGCCAAAGAAAACAACUCGCCAGAAUUUAGUUUAUAAUUUAUAGCUGUAUACAUCAUUAAAUUAUAUACUGUUAAUAAACAAACUUCAUUAACCUUCAUGUUGUGUUCCACCCAGAGAGUAUAUUCUUUUUCCCAAAAAUGCUUGUUAAUGUUGUCACAUUAAACUAAAACCUACUGAUUUUGCUCACACAGGAUAUAACUACUUCUCAAAAAAAAAAAAAAAAGUUUACAAAUGACUGACUUCAAGUUUGGUGAUAAAAUAGCUUACUGAGAGAUUUACAAGCAGUAUUUUAAAUGCUGGUGGGUUUUGACUGGUUUUCAGCACAAUGGUUUAAAAUCAAAAUAACAGUAGUCUAUGCUAGUAGAUUGGAAAGAGUAAAGAUGCUUAAUUAGGACGUGAAGUUGUUUAGCCAGAAAUACCUGUAGAAAGUUCAUAUUGCUAUUAUAACCAUGAAUGCUGUACAUAGCCUAGAUCUUAUUCACAAUGUCCACUUUGUUUAUCUAGAAACAGUACUUUAUUAUUGUUAUUAGCACUUUAUAUCUCACAAUAGAGAUAAAUACUUUCAAAAAAAGAAAGAUUUUAGGAUACAUUAAAACAUAUUUUUAAAACAAUCUGCAUAUCAUUGUCUAGGAAGAUUUUCCCCCCAAAAUAAAUCAACUUUCACCCUUUAG
ensembl:lncRNA